rnacentral:rRNA from 1 species
GAUGAACGCUGACAGAAUGCUUAACACAUGCAAGUCGACUGUGGCGGACGGGUGAGUAACGCGUAAAGAACUUGCCUCACAGCUAGGGACAACAUUUUGAAACGAAUGCUAAUACCUGAUACUGUGAGAGCGCUUUGCGUCCCAUUAGCUAGUUGGAGAGGUAACGGCUCACCAAGGCGAUGAUGGGUAGCCGGCCUGAGAGGGUGAUCGGCCACAAGGGGACUGAGACACGGCCAUUAGUGCUACGUGAGGCAGCAGUGGGGAAUAGUGGACAAUGGACCAAAGUCUGAUCCAGCAAUUCUGUGUGCACGAUGAAGUUUUCGGAAUGUAAAGUGGUUUCAGUUGGGAAGCGGUACCAACAGAAGAAGUGACGGCUAAAUACGUGCCAGCAGCCGCGGUAAUAC